CUCACAUUCUGUGUCACACAGAGGGGUAAAAGUAUUGCAAUGGCAGAUUUCCCUGCAGCAGUUUUAGAUUUCUACAUUCAUGAGCGGCAGUUAACAACUUUACUGACAUUAUUAAUCAAAGAUGACUUUUUAAAUGUUAACCGGGACAUGAUAAUAAAAGGCCCUAAUUAGACAGAGCUAUUCAGUAAAAUUAGAUAUUAAGCAUGGAUGUGAUU